UACGUAGGUGACAAGCGUUGUCCGGAUUUACUGGGCGUAAAGAGCGCGCAGGCGGUCGUUCAAGUCGAGUGUGAAAGCCCCCGGCUCAACUGGGGAGGGUCACUCGAUACUGAUCGACUCGAAGGCAGGAGAGGGAAGUGGAAUUCCCGGUGUAGUGGUGAAAUGCGUAGAUAUCGGGAGGAACACCAGUGGCGAAGGCGACUUCCUGGCCUGUUCUUGACGCUGAGGCGCGAAAGCGUGGGGAGCGAACCGG
rnacentral:rRNA from 1 species